rnacentral:SRP_RNA from 1 species
GCCCGGCAAGGUGGCGGGUGCCUGUAGUCCCAGCUACUCGGGAGGCUGAGGCAGGAGAAUGGCGUGAACCCGGGAGGCGGAGCUUGCAGUGAGCUGAGNCUCAGCUCACUGCAAGCUCCGCCUCCCGGGUUCACGCCAUUCUCCUGCCUCAG